rnacentral:rRNA from 1 species
AAGCUCGUAGUUGAAUUUCGGGAUCAAUGUUUCGGUCAUGCCGUUAGUAUGUACUGAUAUUAUUGAUUUCUCACCUUCUAAAGAACCGUAAUGCCAUUAAUUUGGUGUCACGGGGAAUUAGGACUGUUACCUUGAAAAAAAUUAGAGUGUUUAAAGCAGGCUCACGCUUGAAUACAUUAGCAUGGAAUAAUGAAAUAGGACAUCCGAUUCUAUUUUGUUGGUUUCUAGGAUCGAUGUAAUGAUUAAUAGGGAUAGUUGGG